UACGUAGGUGGCAAGCGUUGUCCGGAUUUAUUGGGUUUAAAGGGUGCGUAGGCGGCCCACUAAGUCAGUGCUGAAAUAUCCCGGCUUAACCGGGAGGGUGGCAUUGAUACUGGUGGGCUUGAGUACAGAUGAAGUAGGCGGAAUUGACGGUGUAGCGAUGAAAUGCAUAGAUAUCGUCAAGAACACCGAUAGCGAAGGCAGCUUACUAAGCUGUAACUGACGCUGAGGCACGAAAGUGUGGGGAUCAAACAGG
rnacentral:rRNA from 1 species